rnacentral:lncRNA from 1 species
CAAAACAAUAUAACACAGCAUACUAUACUAUACUAUGUAGAUUAAUUAAUGAAUAUUUCCUUUUUUUUUUCCCCAAAGGAUUUUUCAUGUACAAUAAUCUGCUACUUUUGUUGCAUAAGCCAAAGGAAUGACUACCAGGUCUUAAGGAGAGUGAGACAUAAAGUAUCCGGGGUCACUGAAUUCCUGAAGCAUUCUUAUACACCCAGUGAUUCUCAGGUCUAAGAAAAAGACCCAGCAACGAGAAAUACAUCGUAACAACACAUGAUGGAUCUAGGCUGGAUGCAGAACAGUGAUUCUGGAGCAGGAACUGCAUAAUCUUUGUAUUUGAAAAGAUGCUUUGCAUGGAUAACAGGCCCUUUUCUUGAGGAGAGACAGAUCUGUUCAGGAGCAAACAAUGGCUUUUUUUUGGAAUCUCCUUGGAUUCUGGAAGCAGGAAAGAUUGCUGUAAAUAAAAAGCAUAUUGUAGUGUCA